rnacentral:rRNA from 1 species
AUUGAACGCUGGCGGAAUGCUUUACACAUGCAAGUCGAACGGCAGCACGGACUUCGGUCUGGUGGCGAGUGGCGAACGGGUGAGUAAUGUAUUGGAACGUGCCCAGUCGUGGGGGAUAACGUAGUGAAAAUUACGCUAAUACCGCAUACGAUCUAUGGAUGAAAGCGGGGGAUCGCAAGACCUCGCGCGAUUGGAGCGGCCGAUAUCAGAUUAGGUAGUUGGUGGGGUAAAGGCCCACCAAGCCAACGAUCUGUAGCUGGUCUGAGAGGACGACCAGCCACACUGGAACGGAGACACGGUCCAGACUCCUACGGGAGGCAGCAGUGGGGAAUUUUGGACAAUGGGCGAAAGCCUGAUCCAGCUAUUCCGCGUGCAGGAUGAAGGCCCUCGGGUUGUAAACUGCUUUUGUACAGAACGAAAAGGUUUCUACUAAUACUAGGAGCUCAUGACGGUACUGUAAGAAUAAGCACCGGCUAACUACGUGCCAGCAGCCGCCGCAG